rnacentral:rRNA from 1 species
UACGGAGGGUGCGAGCGUUGUCCGGAAUCAUUGGGCGUAAAGGGCGCGUAGGUGGCUGUGGCAAGCGUGCGGUGAAAGCUCGGGGCUCAACCCCGAGUCGGCCGUGCGAACUGCCGGGCUUGAGCACUGUAGAGGCAGGCGGAAUUCCGGGUGUAGCGGUGGAAUGCGUAGAGAUCCGGAAGAACACCGGUGGCGAAGGCGGCCUGCUGGGCAGUGGCUGACACUGAGGCGCGACAGCGUGGGGAGCAAACAGG